AUUGAACGCUGGCGGUAUGCUUAACACAUGCAAGUCGAACGGUAACAGAACUAGCUUGCUAGUUGCUGACGAGUGGCGGACGGGUGAGUAACGCGUAGGGAUCUACCUGACAAUGGGGGAUAGCCCGGUGAAAACCGGAUUAAUACCGCAUACGUCCUAUGGGAGAAAGGGUGCCUCUUCUUGAAAGCAUUCGUUGUCAGAUGAACCUGCGUAAGAUUAGCUAGUUGGUGGGGUAAUGGCCUACCAAGGCGACGAUCUUUAGCUGGUCUGAGAGGAUGAUCAGCCACACUGGGACUGAGACACGGCCCAG
rnacentral:rRNA from 1 species